rnacentral:lncRNA from 1 species
GGCACGCGUGCAGAGGCCCACACACACAGAAGGCGGAGCCCCCGGGUGGAGUGGCUGGCUCCCGGACCACCCAGCAGUCUGGAAGGCGCCCCUGUGUAGCUGCCCUAGAAGACUGUAUACAUACUGAUAACCUAAUGAUUGAAGGGGAGAUUCGGGAAAGGGAUCAUCUCCGGAUGGUGGAGCCUGUCUGCCAGGCAGUGGGAACCUCGGGAUCUGGAAUGUGGGUGGAUGCUGAGUACAGCAGGCUCUGGGAGGGAGUCAGAGCACGGGGAGAUGGGAACAGAAGGAUCAGAAAUUCAAGUCCAGCUUUGGAGAGAUGACACCAAGGCUAGCCUGGGCUACAUGAGAUCCAGCGUAAAUUGGCCCCCUCCAGAAAUGUAAAUAAAGAGUCAGCGGC